GACGAACGCUGGCGGCGUGCUUAACACAUGCAAGUCGAACGGACCUUCGGGUUAGUGGCGAACGGGUGAGUAACACGUGGGUGAUCUGCCCUGCACUUUGGGAUAAGCCUGGGAAACUCGGUCUAAUACCGAAUAUGAUCGCUGGCUUCAUGGCUGGUGGUGGAAAGCUUUUGCGGUGUGGGAUGGGCCCGCGGCCUAUCAGCGUGUUGGUGGGGGAAUGGCCUACCAAGGCGACGACGGGUAGCCGGCCUGAGAGGGUGACAGGCCACACUGUGACGGAGAGACGGCCCAGACUCCUACGGGAGGCAGCAGUGGGGAAUAUUGGACAAUGGGCGCAAGCCUGAUGCAGCGACGCCGCGUGAGGGAUGACGGCCUUCGGGUUGUAAACCUCUUUCGCCAGGGACGAAGCGCAAGUGACGGUACCUGGAGAAGAAGGACCGGCCAACUACGUGCCAGCAGCCGCGGUAAAAC
rnacentral:rRNA from 1 species